UACGUAGGGUGCGAGCGUUGUCCGGAAUUACUGGGCGUAAAGAGCUCGUAGGUGGUUUGUCGCGUUGUCCGUGAAAUUCCCUGGCUUAACCGGGGAACGGGCGCCGAUACGACCGCCCUGGAGGGACGUAGGGGGACCUGGAACUUCCGGUGGAGCGGUGAAAUGCGUUGAGAUCGGAAGGAACGCCCGUGGCGAAAGCGAGGUCCUGGACGUUUUCUGACGCUGAGACGCGAAAGCCAGGGGAGCGAACGGG
rnacentral:rRNA from 1 species